AUGAUGAGAGAAAGUUAAAAUUUUAUGGUUAGAACACAAUGAUUUCCAUGAUUUAAAUAUAACUAGGGCGAUCUGAUUUU